AUGAGAAGGCAGCAGGUGUGCCAAAUAUGUGGCGACACUGUAGGCAGUUCGGCCAACGGUGGCGUCUUUCUUGCCUGCAACAAGUGUGCCUUCCCAGUCUGCCGCCCUUGCUAUGAGUAUGAAUGCAAGGAAGGGAACAAGUGCUGGUGCCAGACUAGAUACAAGAGGCUGUGA
rnacentral:rRNA from 1 species